rnacentral:rRNA from 1 species
UUGACCUCGGAUCAGGUAGGAAUACCCGCUGAACUUAAGCAUAUCAAUAAGCGGAGGAAAAGAAACCAACAGGGAUUGCCCCAGUAACGGCGAGUGAAGCGGCAACAGCUCAAAUUUGAAAUCUGGUCCCUAGGGCCCGAGUUGUAAUUUGUAGAGGAUGCUUUUGGUGAGGUGCCGCCCGAGUUCCCUGGAACGGGACGCCACAGAGGGUGAGAGCCCCGUCUGGCUGGCCGCCGAGCCUCUGUAAAGCUCCUUCGACGAGUCGAGUAGUUUGGGAAUGCUGCUCAAAAUGGGAGGUAUAUGUCUUCUAAAGCUAAAUAUUGGCCAGAGACCGAUAGCGCACAAGUAGAGUGAUCGAAAGAUGAAAAGCACCUUGAAAAGAGGGUUAAAUAGUACGUGAAAUUGUUGAAAGGGAAGCGCUUGUGACCAGACUUGGGCGCGGCGGAUCAUCCGGGGUUCUCUCCGGUGCACUUCGCCGCGUCUAGGCCAGCAUCAGUUCGUCGCGGGGGAAAAAGGCUUCGGGAACGUGGCUCCUCCGGGAGUGUUAUAGCCCGUUGCAUAAUACCCUGCGGUGGACUGAGGACCGCGCAUCUGCAAGGAUGCUGGCGUAAUGGUCACCAGCGACCCGUCUUGAAACACGGACCAAGGAGUCGUCUUCGUAUGCGAGUGUUCGGGUGUCAAACCCCUACGCGUAAUGAAAGUGAACGCAGGUGAGAGCUUCGGCGCAUCAUCGACCGAUCCUGAUGUUCUCGGAUGGAUUUGAGUAAGAGCAUACGGGGCCGGACCCGAAAGAAGGUGAACUAUGCCUGUAUAGGGUGAAGCCAGAGGAAACUCUGGUGGAGGCUCGCAGCGGUUCUGACGUGCAAAUCGAUCGUCAAAUAUGGGCAUGGGGGCGAAAGACUAAUCGAACCUUCUAGUAGCUGGUUUCCGCCGAAGUUUCCCUCAGGAUAGCAGUGUUGAGCUCAGUUUUAUGAGGUAAAGCGAAUGAUUAGGGACCCGGGGGCGCUAUAUUGCCUUCAUCCAUUCUCAAACUUUAAAUAUGUAAGAAGCCCUUGUUACUUAGUUGAAC